rnacentral:pre_miRNA from 1 species
UUUAAAAGUAACCAUGAAUUUUCGUAUUCAAUUUUCAUUGUCCGUCUUAUUUAAAUAUUUUUAUAAUUAAUAAAUUUGUUGUUAUUACAUGAUAAAACAUAAAUAGUACUCUAUGCGUGAUUUGUGUUUUUUUAAUCUUUUUCAUAUAUUUUUGAAAUAAGACGGUGUUGAACACAAAAAUUUAUGGCU